CCAUAGAGCUAUGUAGGCUUGCACCGCCUAUCUCUAGCCAAUGUCUUGAGUAUUUAUUACCCUUUUGCGCCUUGUUUCCUCGGGCGGGUUCCGCCCGCCGCAUGGACCACAUUAUAAACCAUUUUAUGCAGUUGCAAUCAGCGUCAUGACAACAAAUGUAAUCAGUUA
rnacentral:misc_RNA from 1 species